GAUGAACGCUGGCGGCGUGCCUAAGGUAUGCAAGUCGAGCGGUAAGGCUUUCACAUUUUGCUUAAACGAUAUAACCCGGUCUCUAGGCUAGAGAUUGGCAGUUUGAGCAAGGCGUGAAAGUACACGAGCGGCGGACGGCUGAGUAACACGUAGGAAUGUACCCCAAAGUGAGGGAUAAGCACCGGAAACGGUGUCUAAUACCGCAUACGCUCUUCGGAGUAAAGACUUCGGACGCUAUGGGAACGGCCUGCGCAUGAUUAGCUUGUUGGUGAGGUAAUGGCUCACCAAGGCGAUGAUCAUUAGCUGGUCUGAGAGGAUGAUCAGCCAGACUGGGACUGAGACACGGCCCAGACCCCUACGGGGGGCAGCAACUAGGAAUCUUCCACAAUGGACGAAAGUCUGAUGGAGCAACGCCGCGUGCAGGAUGAAGGCUUUCGGGUCGUAAACUGCUUUUUUCUGUGAUGAUAAUGACAGUAGCAGACGAAUAAGGAUCGGCUAACUCCGUGCCAGCAGCCGCAGUAACAC
rnacentral:rRNA from 1 species